AAAGCAAGAUUGAGCAUACUGUUGAUGGGAAGAGGCUAGGGAUAUUGAUGAUAUUAAUGAGAGUUUUAGAGUGUUUGGAGAGGAAGUAUUUAAUGAAGCUGCUGAGGUUGAUGGGUUAUUUGAUGUUAGUGUAGAAGGUGAGAAUCUAUUUGGUGCAUUUGUUACGAAUGAAGAUGUGGUAGAGGGAACAAACUCAGAUGAAGAUGUGGUAGAGUAUGAAUGGAUGUCAUGCGAUGAUGCGGAAUUGCAAGAGGCUAGGGAUGCAGUGAAUAAAUUUAAAAGCAAUCCUAGAAAAGCAAAAGUUGAGAAGAAUCCUAAUAUCCAAUAAAGCGUCGUACCUGAAGACCUUUUUGGGUAUGAUCCAUAGGCUGAUGAAGAAGUUGUACAAGUAGGCUUAAGCAAAAGAGACAAGUUUUCAGUAUUCAGACAUGGAAAUAGUAAGGUACAUUUCUCUAUCGGCAUGUUAUUUAACAAAGGAGAUCAAUUUAAGGAUGCAGUAACACAAUGGGUUAUAGAAAAUAAUAGAGAUGUAAAAUUCAUAAGGAAUACCAAAACAUAAUUUAGAGCUAAGUGUGUGAAAAAAAAAAUUGUCCUUAGACCAUAUAUGCGUCUAAGGAAAAAAAAAAGAAUGAUAUUCAAGUGAAAAUCCCUUAUUGAUAAACACACAUGUUCUAUUUCAUAUAAAAAUAGGAGGGUUACUGCUAAGUGGUUAGCUAAAAAGGUUUUACUUAAGUAUAAAUCUAUCGAGUCCAUGAAAUUAGUUGAACUUAAGGCACAGUUAAAAGAGGAUAUCAGUGUAGAAAUUAAGUUGUGCAAAUUGAGAAGAGUAAAGUUACUAUAUCUGUCUACAAUGUUGGUGAUACUGAGGGUGAAUAUGCCAAAUUGCAGGACUGUCUAGGUGAAGUGAAAAGAUCAAAUCCCUUAAGUACAAUUGAGAUGAAGGUUCAGAGGCUUAUAUUUGAUGAGAUGGUUGUUUGUGAUAGACUAUAUAUUUCAUUUGCUUGUUGGAGGAAGGGGUUUUUAAGCGAAUGUAGGAGGGUAAUUGGUCUAGAUGGGUCAUUUCUGAAGGGAAAAAUAAAAGGUAAAAUUUUAGCAACUGUUGGAAAGGAUGGGAACAACCAGAUGUUCCCAAUCUGUUGGGCUGUUGUCAAGGUUGAAAACAGCAAUACUUGGAGUUGGUUUAUUGAGAUAUUGAGAAAAGAUCAUGCAAUUGGUGAAGGAGAUGGAUGGACAUUCAUUUUUUAUCAACAGAAGCCUAGAAAUACUAGUGAAGCCUCAUUUCAAACUAAAGAAAGCAAGGGAAAUGAGAGAAAAAUAGUAGGAGAUGAGCCUGAACCUAGCUUUAUGACAAACAAAAAGGAGGGGUUUAUGAAACAAGAGAAUCACUAUAUAACAAGAACUCAAUUGUAGGCCAAGAGACUGAAAACGCAGCAUAGAAGUACAUCAGCCCCUAAUGAAAAGAAAAAAAGGCAGUAAGGGAAGUAUAGAAUGAAGGGCAAAGUGAAGCAAUUGAACUCAGCCAAAUAUUGCCAAUACAUCAAUCUGGAACAUCAAGAAUUCUCUAAGAUGGAGAAGGUAUUUUUUUAUGCUUUUGAGUUGGGAAAGAUGAGUCUGAGAUGGAGCAGAUGCUUUAUUGUUUUAUUUUUUUUGUCAUUUGAAUUAGGAAUAUUUAAUGUACUAUUGUAUUUCAACAAUAGUCACAUUAGGACAAUCUAUGUUUCAGUUUUUAGCCAAUUGUAUAUUGGAUUCUUAGUUGACAUGCUGUGUAUAUCCCAAACUCUAUCUUUUGUUCCCUUAAAUUUAAGUAAUGAAAUUGGAUUUGCUAUCUUUAUGUAGCAAAUUACUUUUAUAUA